CAGUCUACUUUUUCUUCACUCGGCUGAGUUUUUAGAGAAUUAUAAACCAUGAAACUAAACUGAGUAAAGGUUGCAAGUUUACCGCAAGCGGCACCUGGGGUCAAGAAGAGAGAAAGUUAUCCGGGUAAACAGAACGCACACAACAUCUCCCCUAAGGAUCUCCAAGGGUCAGAGAUGUGAGGACUCACACCUUGGUAGAAAGCGCAUCAGGAUGUCCCCAUCCCCAGUGGCCGCGGCUGCUCCUGCGGUAUCAUCGGCAUAGGCACCAGCUCCAGGUAUCGGUGAAUCUCCGACUCGACUAUGUGAGGGCACAGCACAGUGAUUUAGGACAGGAGACCAAGAGUGAGUUCACACACUGUUUUAUGGGAGGUUUCCACAAUAGGGGAUGUUUCUAAUUCGCCACUCAGGAUCGUUUUAAGUAAAUUCUUCAUCGGAACACACAGAUCAAAGAUUUUCAUUAGUUUUUCAGCUAAGGUUUCCAUAAACCUAAUUAUGUAAGAAUUGGAUACCAGUUGGUUAUAUAUCAGGACGGCACAGAUUUACAGUGACUGUUCAAUUAUUACUAUCCUUUAUCAUCAGAUUUCUGGAUUAUCUCAAUAGGUUCAAACUGGUUUUCCUCAUCUAUAAUCUACUCCUGCUUUCUAUCUGAUGUGCCAAAAUUUUACCAAGGUUUUUCCUUGUAAUAAACCUUCAGUGUUUUUCUGCUAUUUUAAAACAAAGGCAGAAAUCUUUAAAGUGACUGAGGACUCUCUGAAAUCUGGCUCCGGUCCUCCUCCCAGGUACCCGACACUCAUGCUAUUUCUCUCCCCUCCAGGGGGAGCCCUGAACUCGAGCGUGUACGACUCAAGCUCCCUUCCCCUCCUGAGGCUCAGGCUCAGCCCCCAGGAUCUCUCUGCUGGUCUCCCCAACUGCCUGCCCUGCUUACUCAGGCACCACUCCCAUCCCUGAGCUCCGCAGCACUGGCUGUGACGCCCACUCCGGUGGCACUUAGCACGUACUAAUUUAUUUUCGUUCACAUUUACUUAUCUCAGCUGUGAGGGUAGGGUUGUGCUUUAUGUUUUGCAUCUCCCAUUAGCACCUUGCACAUAUUGGUUUACACUCAAUACAUAUUUGCGAGAUCUGUUCUUUUCGAAACACUAACCCAUGUAUUUUGAAUUUUAUACCAUUUGUAGAUGUACCAGCAGCAGUACGCCCCAUCUUAUGGACUACAACCAUGCCUAGAAGUUAAAAAAAAAAAAUCAUUGUAUCAACUCUGAGGUUUA